AAAGGGGGAAAGUAAGCAAAUGGGGAGACCUUGAGGUGUGGGCUGGUCCCCUUACCAACAAACGUACAGCGGUGGUCUUAUGGAACAGAAGCAACUCAAGAGCUACAAUCACUGCCAAGUAGGAAAAAAUUGGACUGCAUCCUUUUGUUCAAGUCCGAGUUAGGAACUUAUGGAGGCACAGAGACUUGGCCAAAUAUCACCAAGGAAGCCUUGUAGCAUCAGUGAAGCCUCAUGCUUGUAAAUGUUUGUUUUGACACCAGUUUCUUAAUAAACUCAUGUGGACAGUUUAGUUUACAGCAAAUAUGCUGUACAUGCAUAUUAUAGCAGUGAUUGGUAGAGAAUUGGUGGUGAUGGUGAUCUUCAAAGAAGGGAUAUAUCACUGUCCUUAUUAUGUUUAUUAUUCCCAUAGUACAAAGUAGAAGGAAUUUUGUGUCAAGCCUCCUGUGAAAUGCACAAGGGGUUUAAAAGGCAAUUGGGUAUUCAUUUCUUUCUCCAUUUCACAGAAAGAGAGCCAAAUCUUAUGGCCUAUUGGCAGACAUGGGAGAAUCAGAUUUUGGUUGAAGUCAGGAAUAUGAUAGCCCAACUAAAUUUAAUGA